UACGGAGGGUGCAAGCGUUAUCCGGAUUCACUGGGUUUAAAGGGUGCGUAGGCGGAUUAGAAAGUCCGUUGUGAAAUCUCUGAGCUUAACUCGGAAAUUGCGGUGGAUACUAUUAGUCUUGAAUACUGUGGAGGUUAGCGGAAUAUGUCAUGUAGCGGUGAAAUGCAUAGAUAUGACAUAGAACAUCGAUUGCGAAGGCAGCUCGCUACACUAUGAUUGACACUGAGGCACGAAAGCGUGGGGGUCAAACAGG
rnacentral:rRNA from 1 species